rnacentral:rRNA from 1 species
GGGUUGUGAGGUUAAGCGACUAAGCGUACACGGUGGAUGCCCUGGCAGUCAGAGGCGAUGAAGGUCGUGCUAAUCUGCGAUAAGCGUCGGUAAGGUGAUA